rnacentral:rRNA from 1 species
GACGUAGGUGGCGAACGUUAUCCGGAAUUAUUGGGCGUAAAGGGUGCGUAGGUGGCCUGACAAGUUAUCAGUGGCAAAUCGAGGCUCAACCUCGUGGAAACUGGUAAUACUGUCCGGCUUGAGUACAGGAGAGGUUAACGGAACUCUAUGUGGAGCGGUAAAAUGCACAGAUAUAUAGAAGAACAUCAAUAAAGGCGAAGGCAGUUAACUAUUCUGUUACUGACGCUGAGGCACGAAAGCGUGGGGAGCAAACAGG